CGCCGAUCCGCCAUCUCAUGGUAUCUCAGCGCCAUCAUCGUGCUAUCUGACAAAUCAGAAUCACUUGACUCGGAUCCUCCUGCAUCAGUCGCCCCGGGUUGGAAAGAACUCGCCCUCGAGUUCACAGUAACUUCAUCGGACUCCAUAAAACUAGGGUUUAGGUGUUUUACAUUGAAGACGUCAGAGGUCUUCAAAUGGCUCGGGAGGCACAAUCUGUAAGCAUUAUCAUUGAUCUUCUGCAGCACUUCACAAGGUCCAAUCUUCCGCUCCUUUAGCUUAUUGUAUUCCCCAGCUGGAAAACGAUCACGAGUUAAUACUGCCCAAACAAAAUCACCAACAUCAAACAACACCUGGCGUCGAUGACUAUCUGC
rnacentral:lncRNA from 1 species